UUUGAGUGUCCCGGAAACAAGACUCACACAGCAAAGGCCAAACCAAGGCUGUCUUUCUGGAAGUCAUGGAGGGUGUCCCCCAACUGCCAAACCAAGCCAAGAGAAUUUCUGUGAGAAAAAUAAAUAGAGGGGCUAAACAACGUACUCAGAAUCACACCACUAGUAGGCUGUACAGGUGGACGUUGAACCCAGCAGUCUGCAGAGUCUGAUUUCCUCACCACUAAGCUGCCUCGGCUUACUAUGCAUGUCAGAAAUUUCACCUGGACAAGUUCAAGCUCAAGGAACUCAUACAUUCAAAGCACCAGGGCAUAGCACCAAGAAGUGUAUGUGAGGGACCAAAUCUUCCAUCUCAGACUCUUCCCUGAGGAUAAGAGGAUGACUCUCUGAAUGUAACCUCCUUCAGACCAGCAUUGUGUGACA
rnacentral:lncRNA from 1 species